UAUUAAUUUUAUAAAUAUAAUUUAUUAACUAAAUUUGCGCGUAAUCUCGCAACGUCGCAACCUUGCAUGGCAACAGCGGAUUUCUUGAAGUGCAGCGACAUUCUAUGGCAGCGAACAAUGUGUAUCCACAUAACCUGUAAUAAGUUUUUGUUCGGUGCAGAAACAACCAUGGAAAACAUUAUAUGGAGAAUAUCUCAUUUUGCAUACGAGUAUUUCGCUGAAAAAGAAAAUUCUGUGAAAUCAACAUUUUGGGCUACAUAGUCGUUGUUAAAGUCAACUCUGUUAAUAUAAAACAGCAUAGAUAUAAUCUAAGUACACCAAGUUCUCAAGCAAAAAAUAUAGGUUAUGUUUCCCAGAAAUCAAAUAUAUUUACAAGAGAAAACUUACGAAAAUUUUUAACAGAGGCCCGUGAUUAAUGUACCUAAUGUCAAAGGUAUAUUUUUUAUUCGAAGUUGUAGGAGUAUGCGGAAUGGAAGAAUUUGAACAAUUUUCUUGUAUCUACAUAACCUAUAAUAAGCUUUUAUUAUUAUUACAGAACAGAUUAUUAGCUUACAUGCCCAUUUUAAAUGAAAAAAGAUCUGUAGCAAUUGCAAAAUAGAGAUGGAUAGCAAUAAUAACAAGCAGUUUACAUGCAUUCGACCGAACUUGCAAAAACUGGCAGAUAAUAUAUCAAAUUUAUUACCUAAAAACUCAGCCACAGUUUAUGAAAAGCGGUUUAUUUUUUAUUAGAAGUUGUAGGAGCAUGUGGAAUGGAUAAAUUGAAAAAUAAUGACGGCAUUCAAGACAAAAA